rnacentral:lncRNA from 1 species
GCGGCGACGGCGGAAUCAAAGAAACCCGUUAUAGAGGAGUGAGAAAGAGGCCAUGGGGACGUUACGCCGCCGAGAUCAGAGAUCCGUACAAGAAGACACGUGUCUGGCUCGGAACCUUCGACACUCCAGAAGCAGCCGCUCGUGCCUACGACAGAGCUGCUCUUCGUUUCCGCGGCGCUAAAGCCAAAACCAAUUUCCCUUAUACCUACAUGGUCGACAACAACGAGAGCCCGACGCAAAGCAGCACCGUCGAAUCAUCGUCGAUUCCGGAUCUCAAUCUCGGAUCCGUC